GAAACACGGACCAAGAAGUCUAACAUAUACGCGAGUCAUUGAGAUUCCUGUACCUCAAAGGCGAAAUGAAAUGUGAAGGUGCACUUUAUUGUGUGCUGUCACGCGAUCUUUAUUCGUAUACGAAUAGAGCGCAGCGUGGGCCCGUACAAUCCUCGUGAUAGUACGGAGUUUGAGCGUAUAUGUUAGGACCCGAAAGAUUGUGAGCUAUGCCUGGGCAAGACGAAGCCACAGGAAACUGUGGUGGAGGUUUGAAGCGUUUCUGACGUGCAAAUCGAUCGUCUGACCUGGGUAUAGGGGCGAAAGACCAAUCGAACAAUCUAGUAGCUGGUUCCUUCCGAAGUUUCUCUCAGGAUAGCUGGCGUUCAAAUACAGUAUCAUCUGGUAAAGCGAAUGAUUAGAGGAAUUGGGGACGUAACGUCCUCAACCUAUUCUCAAACUUUUAAUGGGUGAGAAGUAUUGCUCUCUUUGUUGGAGUAUAUACGUUGUAUGAGAAUGCCUAGUGGGCCAUUUUUGGUAAGCAGAACUGGCGAUGUGGGAUGAACCAAACGUUGAGAUAAGGUGCCCGAUGCGAAACGCUCAUGAGACCCCAUAAAAGGUGUUGGUUGCUUAAGACAGCAGGACGGUGGCCAUGGAAGUCGGA
rnacentral:rRNA from 1 species